rnacentral:lncRNA from 1 species
CCACAAAUUAUGGCUGUGCUUGAUGGAAACAUAACUGAAAACCUGUCUCCAUGGAAUCAGUGUGCACAACGGCAAGUUUGAAACUACAUUCCUAAGGCAGAAAGACUCACACACAAAUCAAGAUGAGUUCGACAUUACUAGAGGUGACUGUUACACCCUUUCCUUGAAAACUGAAAAUUUAAAGGAAAGAAAUGAAUAUCAGAUUGUUUCUCCAAAACAAAUUCUCAAGAGGAGGAAACUGAGGCACAGAGUGGUGAACAAGAGUCACAGCAUGCCAAACCCUGGAGGCCAUAACCUGGGCCGUCAUCAUCUGAGCUUCUUGACACGAGUUUCUUCUGUGCCUUGCUGCCGGGGACGAAACACGUUAAGUGCAAGAAC